GUGGAAGACAGGAGUGCCUGGCGUGCUCUUGGUCCAUGGGGUCACGAAGAGUUGAACACGACUAAACGACUAAACAACAACAACAACAAGGCUAUCAAUAACGACUAGUCAUGUUGUUCUACCUCCACCGUCUGAGGCAGUAUGCCUCUGUAUACCAGUUGCUGAGAACUGCAGAUGAGGACAGCACUGUUGCUUUUUGAUCUUGCUUGUAAGCUUUUCACAAAUGUUUGGUUGGCUGCUGUGAGAGCAGACUGCUGGACUUGAUGGGCCUUUCGCCUGAUCCAACAUGCUAAACUCACAUCAGUCAGAGGUGCCAGCUUCUCAAGAUGAUUGAGGGGGCCCAAUGCGACGUUCUGAGGUCGCAUGUGCGAGAAGCCAGGGGGUGGAGCCAAACGCCUUCUGAACUUUGAGGGGGUCUGCCCCCUAAAAACAACAACUGGGGGCCCAAAGUGCCUCAGCCUCCAGGAACUGGCACCUGUCAGGCAUAGGCUGCUUAGAGAAGGGGACAAAUUAUAUUUGAUUUGGAGGAACAGAUUACUUAUUUAUUGGAAAGUAUUUCCUAACUGCCCUUCGUUAAAAUAUUCUAGGGCUGUGUACAAAAAUGUCAAUAGAACUAAUCUCAAAACAUAUAUUUUAAAACUAAUAAAAACACAACAAAAUACAAGAUGACAAGAAGCAAAUAAAAACCUGAAAAUGUAAAAAAUAAAAAUAAAAAUUGGAAUAUGCAGAAAUUCCGAACACGCCUUGGGAAAGAGGAUGAUCUUCACCCGGCAUUCAAUUUCCCCAUACUUCCUAAUGCCCUUGUGCUUCCUUGGGGAAUGGUGAUGAGCUGCAUUCACAAACCAUCAUCAGACAAGUGCUGCCCCUAGGCAUGCCUUUGUAAAGGGCUGAAAACUGUUAUAUGACUGAACAAUCUUCCUUUGUUAUGGAGACUGGCCUAGAUAGCUAGUUCCUCAAUGGGAGUUAAUGGUCAGGAAAUAGUUGAGAUAUCUUGCUAUGAGCACUUUAAAUGGGGGAGGCUUGGAAGAAGCUACAUCCCUUGACUCCCCCUCCCUGCAUAUAAAGGGAAGGGGCUGGUGUUAGAGGGUUUUGGUUAGUUUUUUAUUUUCUAUUUUGCAGAGAGACAGGAGAGCCUGAUCUGAAGGCAAAAAGCAGCUGGAGCUGAAGAUGCCUUUCCUCUUUCUUGAGAUCUGAGUCUGAAAAACCCGCAGGAUGAGGACAAAUUAAAAGUCAAGUCUUCAAUCAGUACACCAUUUCCCUUUUUGGCCUCCAUGUUUAAUUUAUAUCAGCCAAGGAUAGCCUAAGUUUGUCUACUGAAAUGUCAUUUGCACUCUUUACAAACCUUUGAAUUUGUUCAAGAAGGUGAGGAGAAGAUUAAAUAUCAAAGCUUUUAACAGGAGAGUGGGAAGAAAGAGGACGGAAAGAGGUCCUGCCCCUUCAACUGCGGAGGCUAGGGAGGGGGAGGCAGGUCUGCUGGCUCAUUGUCCUGCCCCUUCCAUGGGUUGGAGAAAUUCCCUAGCGAAGAGGUUGAAUGCUGACCAGCCAGAAGGGAAGGCUAGACAGGUGGAGGAGCAAACUGAGGGGCUGACCUUCGUUCCACCACCAAGAAUACAGCACUGCCUCUGCUUUAGGGAACAGACCCAGGUCCCUUGGAGAAAAUCACACCUUCAAGUAAACCAGUCUCUUAGGGGGAGUGUCACAAGUGAGCGAGCUACAUCUUGCCUUUAAUAGAUGGUGGGAGGGACAUAUCCAUUGGUCAAAACAUCUUUGCAGCUUUCAUCCAGUCUCUGACUCUUGAUACGGUUCUUGAACUCACUAGCUACCCCUUUCAUGCUUUGCACCUAUAGCCUGACCUGCACCAUACCUAGCCUUGAAUAAACUUUUCUUCCUACUCACA